rnacentral:rRNA from 1 species
AGCAACAAAUGCCCUGCUUCCAGGAAAAGCCUCUAAGCAUCAGGUAACAUCAAAUCGUACCCCAAACCGACACAGGUGGUCAGGUAGAGAAUACCAAGGCGCUUGAGAGAACUCGGGUGAAGGAACUAGGCAAAAUGGUGCCGUAACUUCGGGAGAAGGCACGCUGACACGUAGGUGAAGUGAUUUACUCAUGGAGCUGAAGUCAGUCGAAGAUACCAGCUGGCUGCAACUGUUUAUUAAAAACACAGCACUGUGCAAACACGAAAGUGGACGUAUACGGUGUGACGCCUGCCCGGUGCCGGAAGGUUAAUUGAUGGGGUCAGCGCAAGCGAAGCUCCUGAUCGAAGCCCCGGUAAACGGCGGCCGUAACUAUAACGGUCCUAAGGUAGCGAAAUUCCUUGUCGGGUAAGUUCCGACCUGCACGAAUGGCGUAAUGAUGGCCAGGCUGUCUCCACCCGAGACUCAGUGAAAUUGAACUCGCUGUGAAGAUGCAGUGUACCCGCGGCAAGACGGAAAGACCCCGUGAACCUUUACUAUAGCUUGACACUGAACAUUGAGCCUUGAUGUGUAGGAUAGGUGGGAGGCUUUGAAGCGUGGACGCCAGUCUGCGUGGAGCCGACCUUGAAAUACCACCCUUUAAUGUUUGAUGUUCUAACGUGGACCCGUAAUCCGGGUUGCGGACAGUGUCUGGUGGGUAGUUUGACUGGGGCGGUCUCCUCCUAAAGAGUAACGGAGGAGCACGAAGGUUGGCUAAUCCUGGUCGGACAUCAGGAGGUUAGUGCAAUGGCAUAAGCCAGCUUGACUGCGAGCGUGACGGCGCGAGCAGGUGCGAAAGCAGGUCAUAGUGAUCCGGUGGUUCUGAAUGGAAGGGCCAUCGCUCAACGGAUAAAAGGUACUCCGGGGAUAACAGGCUGAUACCGCCCAAGAGUUCAUAUCGACGGCGGUGUUUGGCACCUCGAUGUCGGCUCAUCACAUCCUGGGGCUGAAGUAGGUCCCAAGGGUAUGGCUGUUCGCCAUUUAAAGUGGUACGCGAGCUGGGUUUAGAACGUCGUGAGACAGUUCGGUCCCUAUCUGCCGUGGGCGCUGGAAGACUGAGGGGGGCUGCUCCUAGUACGAGAGGACCGGAGUGGACGCAUCACUGGUGUUCGGGUUGUCAUGCCAAUGGCACUGCCCGGUAGCUAAAUGCGGAAAAGAUAAGUGCUGAAAGCAUCUAAGCACGAAACUUGCCCCGAGAUGAGUCUUCCCUGAGACUUUGAGUCUCCUGAAGGAACGUUAAAGACGAUGACGUUGAUAGGCCGGGUGUGUAAGCGCAGCGAUGCGUUGAGCU